AACGAACGCUGGCGGCAUGCCUAACACAUGCAAGUCGAAUGAGACCUUCGGGUCUAGUGGCGCACGGGUGCGUAACGCGUGGGAACCUGCCCUUAGGUUCGGAAUAACUCCCCGAAAGGGGUGCUAAUACCGGAUAAUGUCUUCGGACCAAAGAUUUAUCGCCUUUGGAUGGGCCCGCGUUGGAUUAGCUAGUUGGUAGGGUAAAAGCCUACCAAGGCGACGAUCCAUAGCUGGUCUGAGAGGAUGAUCAGCCACACUGGGACUGAGACACGGCCCAGACUCCUACGGGAGGCAGCAGUGGGGAAUAUUGGACAAUGGGCGAAGGCCUGAUCCAGCAAUGCCGCGUGAGUGAUGAAGGCCUUAGGGUUGUAAAGCUCUUUUACCCGGGAUGAUAAUGACAGUACCGGGAGAAUAAGCUCCGGCUAACUCCGUG
rnacentral:rRNA from 1 species